rnacentral:rRNA from 1 species
CUUUAAUGGAUAAUUUUAGUAUGUGGUGUAUGGGAAUGUUAGAUUAAGCUUUGUAGUUUAUAUUAAAAUUUUUGUAUGUGGAACAAAAGAAGGGAGGGGCUUUAGAUUGUUUAUUGUUUGUUUUUUAGUAUUGCAUAUUAUUAGAGGACUAUUUUUAUUGUUGAUAAUUAAUAGAAAUAAAAGGUGGAGGGAUUUUUGGUUUUAUUGUUGUAUGAUAAGAAUUAUUAUUUUUUGUUUUGAUAUAACGUCUUUUAUUAUAUCUGUGUUUUGUUUAUUUUUUAGAAAAUUGUAAGUUUGUGACUGUUCUUGAGGAAAUUUAGGAUUUGGAGUUUUUUGUUUUUUAGUGUUAUGACUUUUUCUGGGUUGGUGUUUUAUUUUUUUUUUUUGUUUUUGUAUUAAUGUUUUAAUAUUUUAAUAGUUUUUAAUUUAGUAGAUUGUCUAUGUUGUGUCUGGUGUUAUUAAUUUAAAUUGAAUGACGGUUUUAUAAUCAAAUGUUUAUUAAAGACUUAGACACUAAUUUGGUGUUGUCCUCUGCUCUAUGAUUGUUAAAUGGCCGCCUUAGCGUGAGGGCAUGAAAGUAGCAAAAUAAUUUGUGUUUUUAAUGGAUUCGAGUAUGAAAGGGGGUUUGGUUAUUUUUGUUUUGUUUUUAUUUUGAAUUAGCGUAGUGUUUAAUAAUUAAUGUUUGUAGUUAAACAAAGAUAAGUCUUCGGAAAUUCUGUUAAUUAUGGAAAAUUUAAGUUUUGUAAUUAUGUUAUUUAGGGCAAGGUUUUGUAUAAAAGGUUUUACUAGUUUUAUGAAAAAGAGUUACUUCGGAGUUAACAGAAAAUCACAUUUUUUCUAGAUGUUAUAGAUAAAAGGGUUUUACAUCGAUGUUGUAUUCUAAUUGGCUAAAGGAGUAGCAAUUUUAGUUUUUUAGACUGUCUCUUCAUA